rnacentral:rRNA from 1 species
ACUCCUACGGGAGGCAGCAGUAGGGAAUAUUGCGCAAUGGACGAAAGUCUGACGCAGCCACGCCGCGUGAGUGAGGAAGGCCUUCGGUUGUAAAGCUCUGUCGCCUGGGAAAACGGCUAUUGGGGAAGGUUCCAGUAGCGUGAUGGUACCAGGAGAGGAAGCACCGGCAAACUCUGUGCCAGCAGCCGCGGUAAUACAGAGGGUGCAAGCGUUGUUCGGAAUUACUGGGCGUAAAGCGUGCGUAGUCGGUAUUGAGAGUCGCGGGGUGAAAUCCCAGGGCUUAACCCUGGAACUGCCUGCGAGACCUCAGUACUAGAGUGUGAGAGGGGAUAGUGGAAUACCCCAGUGUAGCGGUGAAAUGCGUAGAGAUUGGGUGGAACACCGGUGGCGAAGGCGGCUAUCUGGCUCACAACUGACGAUCAGGCACGAAAGCGUGGGGAGC